ensembl:lncRNA
UCUGAGUAAACCCAGACUAAAGGGUUGGUAAAGGUAGAGUAAAGUGCGAGUAAUACCCAGAGUAAGGUGUGACUAAACCCAAAGUAAAGUGUGAGUAAACCUGGAGUAAAGAGUGCGUAACCAUGAAGUAAAGAGUGAGUAAACCAGGAGUAGAGGGUGACCAAAGCUUGGAGAAAACAUGGAGUAAAAUAUGUGUAAACCGUGGUGUAGAAUGUGAGUAAAACCUGAUGUAAAGUGUGAGUAAAGCUUGAGAAAAGUGUGAGUAAACCCAAAGUAAAGGGUGUGUAAGCCCGGAGUAAAUAGUGAGUAAAGCUGGAGUAAAUUGUGAGUAAACCCAUAGUAACCUUGAGGGUAAAACCUAGAGCAUAUUGUUAGGAACCCCGGAGUAAAUUGUGAGUAAAGCCCUGAGUAAAGUGAGAGUAAACCCAGAGAAAAGUAUGAGUAAACCUGGAGUGAAGUGUGUGUAACCCCGGAGUAAAGGAUUAGUAAAGCUUGAAUAAAGCGUGAGUAAUACCCGGAGUACGGUGUGUGUACACCAGAAGUAAAGUGUGAUUAAACUCAGAGUAAAGUGUGCAUAACCUUGAAGUAAAGAGUGAGUAAACCUGGAGUAAAGAGGGAACAAAGCUUGGAGUAAACUGUGAGGAAACAUGGAAUAAAGUAUGUGUAAACCGUGGUGUAGAAUGCGAGUAAAACCUGAUGUAAAAUGUGAGUAAAGCUAGAGAAAAGUGUGAGUAAAACCUAAGUAAAGCGUAUAUAAGCCCGGAGUAAAUAGUGAGGAAACCUGGUGUAAAUUGUGAGUAAACCCAAAGUAAACGUGAGGGUAAAACCUGGAGUAUAUUGUUAGGAACCCCGGAGUAAAUUGUGAGUUAAUCCCUGAGUAAAGUGAGAGUAAACCCAGAGAAAAGUAUGAAUGAACCUGGAUUGAAAUGUGUGUAAACCCAGAGUAAAGGGAUAGUAAAGUUAGAGUAAAGUGUGAGUAAUACCCAGUGUAAGGUGUGACUAAACCCAAAGAAAAUUGUGAGAAAACCCAGAGUAAAGUGUGCGUAACCAUAAAGUAAAAAGGGAGUAAACUUGGAGUAAAGAGUGAACAAAGCUUGGAGAAAGCUGUGAGGAAACAUGGAGUAAAAUAUGUGUAAACCCUGGUGUAGAAUGUGAGCAAAACCUGAUGUAAACUGUGAGUAAAGCUAGAGAAAAGUGUGAGUAAACCCAAAGUAAAGGGUGUGUAAGCCCGGAGUAAAUAAUGAGGAAACCUGGUGUAUAUUGUGAGUAAACCCAAAGUAACCUUGAUGGUAAAACCUUGAGCAUAUUGUUAGGAACCCCGGAGUAAAUUGUGAGUAAAGCCCUGAGUAAAGUGAGAGUAAACCCAGAGAAAAGUGUGAGUAAACCGUUGCUACUGCAAAGCCGGUGGGCCCUCGGUGCGCAGGGACACUGCUCUCCCCCCAUCCACCCAGCCUGCCAUCAUAGAAGGCUACCAGGUUGGUCAAGCACUACUACCUCUUGGUGAAGCCAUGCUGACUCCUCCUCCUAUCCUUCUUCUCUCCCAAUUGCUUGGAGAUGGCAUCCACAACAGGCUGUUCCAUCACCUUCCUAGGGACAGAGGUGAGACUGACUGGCCUGGAGUUUCCCACAUCCUCCUUCUUGCCCUUUCUGAAGACUGGACUGACAUUGGCUAUCCUCCAGUCUUUGGGCACCUCUCCUAAUCUCCAAGGCCUGUCAAAGAUGAUAGAGAGUGGUUCAGCAGUCACCUCUGCCAGCUCCCUCAGCACACGUGGAUGCAUCCCAUCUGGACCCAUGGAUGUGUGCACACUGAUCCCACCCAGACACUUCUGCACCAUCC